UUGCAUUUUUCUACUCCAACCCCCCACAUGCUGUUUGUAGCAUUUGGGACAAGUAAGAAUGCAAGAUAAAUCUAUCUAGAACUCCAAAGUUGAGGGUCUGCUUGUGACCCUCGACUAUUUCACCUCUAGAACAAAU